rnacentral:rRNA from 1 species
CCCUUAGAUGUUCUGGGCAGCACGCGCGCUACAAUGGUCUUCGCAAACGGAUGCAUUCUCGAAGGAGAAUGCCAAUCUUGGAAUCUAUGCCUUGGUCGGGACAGUUGCUUGCAAUUUUUCGACUCGAACCAGGAAUUCCUUGUAAUCGUGAUUCAUCACAUCACGAUGAAUACGUCCCUGCCCUUUGUACACACCGCCCGUCGCUCCUACCGAUUGGGUGCUGGGGUGAACAUUGUGGAGAUUUGAGCUUCGGCUUGGUCAAAGCAAUGUGAAUCUUGCCGCCUAGAGGAAGGAGAAGUCGUAACA